rnacentral:rRNA from 1 species
GGACAGAAAGACCCUAUGAAGCUUUACUAUAACUUGGAAUGGGGUUCGGGCUUCGCUUGCGCAGUAUAGGUGGGAGGCGUUGAGAAUAUUCUUGCGGGAAUAUUGGAGCCAUCAGUGAGAUACCACUCUUGUAAUGUUAGAUUUCUAACUUUGUAUCAUUAUCUGGUCAAAGAACAGUUUCAGGCGGGCAGUUUGACUGGGGCGGUCGCCUCCUAAAUGGUAACGGAGGCGCACAAAGGUUUCCUCUGAACGGGUAGAAAUCGUAUCUAGAGUGUAAAGGCAUAAGGAAGCUUGACUGUGAGACCUACAAGUCGAGCAGGGACGAAAGUCGGUCUUAGUGAUCUGACGGUGCUGAGUGGAAAGGCCGUCACUCAACGGAUAAAAGUUACUCUUGGGAUAACAGGCUGA